rnacentral:lncRNA from 1 species
AGCAAGCAAAUAUAGGAAGGGCUUAACAUACUCGAAAAACAGGGCAACCAUAAAGCCAAACCAAACAAUACAUUCACAAAAACCAGAAAGAAGAGGACACAGCAUAAAAUUAAACGAACUCAUCUGACCAAAAGAAAUAAAUAGAUAAAGGAACAAAGGAGAAUCAACUGGAAAACAAGGUUUAAAAUGGCAAUAAAUACAUAUUUAUCAAUAAUUAUCUUAAAUGUCAAUGGACCGAAUGCUCCAAUCUAAAGCUGUAGGGUGGCAGACUGGAUAAAAAAAAAAAAAGCCCAAAAUAUGUUGCCUACAAGAGACUCACCUUAGGGCAAAGGAGACAUAUGAAUUGAAAGUGAGGGGAUGGGAAAAGAUAUUUCAUGCCAAUGGAAAAGACAGGAAAGCAGGAGUUGCAAUACUCAUAUCAGACAAAAUAGACUUUAAAACAAAGGCCAUAAAGAAAGAUAAAGAAGGUAACUACUUCAUGAUAAAAGGGCAUAUACACAAUGGAAUACUACUCAGCCACAAAAAAAACACAAAAUAAUGCCAUUUGCAGCAACAUGGAUGCAACUAGAGAUUCUCAUACUGAGCAAAGUAAGUCAGAAAGAGAAAGACAAACACCAUAUGCUAUCACUUCUAUGUGGAAUCUAAAUAUGGUACAAAAAGGAGUUCCCGUCGUGGCGCAGUGGUUAACGAAUCCGACUAGGAACUAUGAGGUUGCGGGUUCAAUCCCUGGCCUUGCUCCGUGGGUUAAGGAUCCGGCAUUGCUGUGAGCUGUGGUGUAGGUCACAGACGUGGCUCGGAUCCCACGUUGCUGUGGCUCUGGCAAAGGCCAGUGGCUACAGCUCCGAUUUGACCCCUAGCCUGGGAACCUCCGUAUGCCGCAAGAGCAGCCCAAGAAAUGGCUAAAUAAAUAAACAAACAAAUAUGGUACAAAUGAACAUACCUACAGAACAGAAACAGACUCACACACAUGGAGAUCAGACUUGUGGUUGCCAAGGGGACGGGGAGGGGGUGGGAUGGAUGGGGAGUCUGGGGUUAGUAGAUGCAAACUAUUACAUUUAGAAUGAUAAGCAAUGAGGCCCUGCUCCAUAGUGCCAGGAACUGUAUCCAAUCACUUAUGAUAGAACAUGAUGGAAGAUAACAUGAGAAAAAGAAUAUAUAUGUAUAUAUGACUGGGUCACUUUUCUGUACAGCAGAAAUUGGCGGAACAUUGUAAAUCAACUAUACUUUAAUUUUUAAAAUUUUGAAAAGAUAAAAACUGGUGAAGAGCUAAUAAAAAAAAUUUUUUUGAGCUCCCAAAAAAAGUAGAACAUUUAAGAAAUGAAUCAAGAAAGAAAUUGAGAAAUAGCAAACAGGUCAUCACCAAGGGGGCAGCAAUAGCUCUGAGCUCAGUAUCCUGAAGCCAGAGGCUAAAGUUUGAAGCGCACCUUCAUUCUGACGCCUGGACUCGAAGUCCCAUUAAAGAGCUUGCAGCUCUGACAGCGGGCAUGCUAUGCCCCCAGCUGGAGCUCGUGCCCCAAGGGUUUUCAGAGAUGGACACAGGGCUAUUAUACCACUCAGCCCCACCAGCCACCUGGCUCUCCAAUCACCACCCACUCCCAGAGCGCCCAGGGCCUCUCAAGGUAGAGGGUCCUGGCUAGAGACCCCUUACCUGGUAGGUGCCAGCACCAGGAGGUUCUCUCUGCAGCGGGACAAAGAGACCACAGGAAAAGCAGAAAUGUUUACAGAACGGUUUCCCUUUGUUGCAUCACCUUACCCCAGACCAUUUGCUUUCUAAGGAGAGGCUGGAACAGUGUCCCUGUCUGUAACUGAACCACAUGACUUAUGUUUCAGUACCACGCCAUUGUGGCACAUAGCGCAGCAACCCAAAGGAAUAUCCUCGCCCAAAGCCCCAGCCCCCUUGGCUCUGCCUUUUACCCGAAUUGCAUUAUAUCUACAGCACUUAGGUCCAGAGUCCUUCCUUUCUCAGUGACAGCAGCAAGUCUCCCGGGCCCCUCCAAAGGGCCUCUGUAUAACAUGUGUCGCCCUUUGGAGGUGAAUGUUAAAUAUUGCUAUGGAUUCAUAAGCCAGCAGUGCUCCUUUGACUUGAAUGUGCACACAAGUCACCUGGGAAUCUUGUCAAAAUGCUCCAGCAGGUGUGCGGUGGGGCCUGAGAGGGUGCACCUUUAUUAACUAGCUUCCAGGUGACACUGCCUGGGGCAGGCUUCCACACUGGACAGCCAAGAACUAGAGGGCUCGAGAUUCAAAGCCAAGCCUCCCCACCCCACGCCUCUCGGUUCAGCACAGGGCCAAGACCCACAUCUCAGCUUUCCUUUGCUCAUUUGCCUCUGGUUUUUCUUUCAAGUCCCUGGAAUCUUUGCCACUCCAGGGAGAUGCAAGAGUCGCAGAGGGCAGGAUGGUGGUCGGGGCUUCUCAUGGCAGCUCAGAUUCUGACAUGUGAUGAGGAAGGUGGGAUCUUUUCUGGACAUGAGACUGGCUCAGGCGAUCCCAACUCAGAGACAUCACAUCAGUUGAGUAAGAGUAUCCCCAAUGCCUAGUGGAUAAGGUGGAUUACUAUGAAUAAAAUCUUUGUGAACCAGGAACUAUGAUGGGGCGAAACCUCAGUUAUCUUGUUUUGUGACCACUCCUCUGGAACUGGGAGCCAUGAGUCUACUUUGGCUGCCAGAAAACUCAAAGCUAAACUUAGCAAUUUUUAAGAUGAAGGGAGAGAGAAGUCAGGUAAUGUACCAGAGAUCAAGAUUCUGGACCAGACCUUGAACUGACUUCCUCCUCACCCCACCUCAUACACAGAGGAGGGCUACUUUCAAAAAGCCACUCUAGUGCUUUGCUAAGAACCCUCCGCCCCUUGCUGACAUGUGGGCUUUUCAACACACCGAAACCCCAUGCCUCCAUUUAGUUUUUUGUAAAAUGGGAACCACAGAGCUGAUAAAAUUCAAAAAUUAAAUAUUUAAUCUCAUAUAUAUUUGUAAAAUGUUACAUUUAGCUACUUUCUCAGUGUUUACUGGAGGAGUGAAUACCACAGAGAAGUGACAGUUCUGAGCUGUAAUGUGCUGCCUCAUGAGGUCACUGACUGGGUGCCAAGAACUCAGGCUGAAGCAGGACAGACUUGGGUUCCAAUCCAGGGUCUGCAGGUUUAAUAAAACUAUCUGCCCUUUAUCUGACAAAAAAAAAAUUACAAAGCAAAUCAUGUUCCUUAUCUCUGAAGGUCAUUGUAGUACAAAAAGCACUCAGUUAAUGAGAAAUAGGAAUAGUAUUAGUAUUAGUAUUAGUAUUUUACUUCUCACUGGUAGUAGGACACAGAGAAUGAAAGACAGCAGGACCAGGAGAGCUGAGGCAAGACUGUGAGGUCACAGCCAGAGGAGAUUAGAAACACAAAAAACCCAGAGGCCUCAACAAACUAGGAGUCUAAAACCCAACGGGCAGAGAGCCCUCUGUGCAUUCCAAAGGGCAAAUCACCCACUGGUCCAAAUGGAUGUUGGAGGGACACGUGAGCAGAGGGAAGACAUGGUGACCAAUAAUCAGCAGUAGCUCCAAAGACCAAACACACAGAAAGGAGGGAUUCAGGAAGAGGCACUUCCCACAUUGAGUUGGAAAUCCAGACAGGUUUGUGGGCAAGAAACACACUCACUACUGGAAACGAGCAACCGGAGGCUAAGAGCUGACCUUGCUAGAGGCAAGUGUCUGGACUCAAGAGUCCCUCAGUGCUUCCUAUCGGGCAGAGACAGCUCAAAGCCUGAGAUGAGGGCAGGGAAAUAACAGAAGUAACAGCAUCUGGCUGGAUUGCAAAGAGAAUAUUAGGGCAGCGACUGACAGCAGAUUCUGACACAGCGCCAUUAACAUAUUCCUGACCCACAUUCAUUUUGUCAAAAGAUGCUUUUCAAAAUUGAGUCUUUAUGGAGGAGACAUGCACCCAGAUCUGAUUUGUGCGGGCAACAGAGCUGCAUGCAAAAUAAGAGGUUAGAGAGGACCUGUUCUACAGCACUCUGCAUCGAGAAGCAAAGCGUCCUAUUUUGUAUUCAGAUUCUGCUUUCUGAAUAAACUGUCAAGUCCUUCUGCCAGAUUUUUAUGGAUAAUUAGAAGGUUGCAAGAAGCAGAUGUUAUGAAACUAUCUAUGACUAGUCCUUAAUGGUGGAUGACAAGAACCCAGCACCAUUUCUUAAUUACACAAGACAUGGUGAGAAGCAUUUAAAAAAAAAAAAAUAGAGGGAGAACUUGUCAAAGGCUGACAAGGUAUCAAACGAUUAAUCACCCACCUUGAACCUGAGCUCUUCUUUACUAUUUAUUCAAAACACAGAUCCCACCUCCCUUUAGCUGAAUCAUUUUAUAAGGUGUGCAUUCUCCUGUGUUUCAAUAACUAAAAUAUCAUUCCAGGUCUUAAUAACUAAAAUAUGAGCUCCUGCAUAAAAUCGGUGGAUUUUCUGGUUAAAACUUCCCUGACGAGGAAAUUUGCAUUUUAUUAAAUAUAGACACAGUUUGGCUACAUCAGAUCCUAUUCAGUGAGAUAAAAGGAAGACAUAGCGCCUGGAAAACUGGGCUCUUGUCCCAUGAAGGCGAUGGCACAGCUCCCUUUUUCUGAGCUCUUGCUCUGUGGCAGGCGCAGUACAAGCUUUUUGGCCAUGCGUCAUUGCAUGCCAUUCUCACAACAACUCUAAGUGGGCAUUUUCUUAGCCCCAUUUUUUAGAAAAAGAAAGUGGUAAUAACACCAGGAACAAUGAUAUCAACAGAAGCCACAACAGCUGCUAGCACGGGCAGUUGUCUAGCAUUUACCUGUCCUUUCAGUCUGUGCUGCACACAUCACCUCACUGAAUAGGGCUAGCGCCGUAAUGACUUGUGUGUGUGUGUGUGUGUGUGUCUUUUUAGGGUGGCACCUGUUUCAUAUGGAAGUUCCCACCCUAGGGGUAGAAUCGGAGCUGUAGCUGCCGGUCUACAUCACAGUCUCAGCAAUGCCAGCUCUGAGCUGCAUCUGAAACCUACACCACAGCUCACGGCAACACCGGAUCCUUAACCCACUGAGUGAGGAUACAGAGAUCGAACCUGUAUCCUCAUGGAUACUAGUUGGAUUUGUUUCCUCGGAGCCACGGAAUUAUAAAGUCAAAAUUUCUCACCUCAGUCUUCCUGACUCUUAAUAGAGGAUAUUGAAUCCCUGGGCUAUGCUGCCAUCCACUCGGCUGGGUGACUGUUGUGGGUUGAAUUGUGCUCCCCCAAAUUCACACUGUGGAGUCCUAACCCCAGUACCUCGGCGUGGGACUGUAUCUAGAGACAGAGCCUUUACAGAGGUAACUCCCGUAACAGGAGGUCGUGUGGAUGGAUGUGUAUUCUCCCAACACAAUAUGAUUAGAGAAGAGAGGACCAGGACGGGCACGGGCGCAGAAGAGAAGGCACGUGAAGACUCAGGGAGAAGACGGCCUUGAGGAAACCAAGCCUGCCAAUGCCUCGGUCUUGGACUUCUAGCCUCCAGAACUGUGAGGAAUAAAUUUCUAUUGUUUAAACCACUCUGUCGGUAGUACUGAUUCUGUCAGUGCUAGCAAACGAAUACAAUGUCCUCAUUAAAAUACCUAACCUGGGAGUUCCCAUCAUGGCGCAGCGGAAAUGAGUCCGACUAGGAACCAUGGGGUUGCAGGUUCGAUCCCUGGCCUCACUCAGUAGGUUAAGGCUUGGCCUUUCCGUGAGCUGUGGUGUGGGUCACAGACACAGCUUGGAUCUGAUGUUGCUGUGGCUGUGGUGUGGUCAGCAGCUGUAGCUCUGAUUGGACCCCUAGCCUGGGAACCUCCAUAUGCCCCAAGUGUGGCCCUAAAAAGUAAAAAAAAAGAAAAUCGUUUGAUCCCGGGCACAGCUCAGUGGGUUAAAGGAUCCAGAGCUGCCUCAGCUGCCUAGGUCAGAACCUGUGACUGGAUUUAACCCCUGGCCUGGGAGUUUCCCUAUGUCACAGGUACAGCUAUAAAAUGUUGUUGUACAACUAUAAAUGUAAUAAAAUUCAUUGAUUAAUAAAAAAAAAUUGAAAAAAUAAUAAUGGAUACUCUGAAGGGGCAGGAUAGAGCUCAUUAGACUUUCCAUGGAGUCUUUUGUUCCCGAAUCACAAAUGAGGCCCCAAAACGCAAAUUCUCCAGAAAAAGGCUGCCUAUUGACCUCAAGUCACAACGAGCUGUAAGUGGUUAAAUCAGUCCUUUUCCUCGAGCUGGGCUUAUGAAGAGCCUGAAAGGGCAGAGGGAACAGGAAGGAACUCAGAGAAGAGACACAGAACAACUGAGGACAAGGACUGCUGCUCUCGGUUCCCCCGGGGCUGCGCCUGG